UACGAAGGGGCUAGCGUUGUUCGGAAUUACUGGGCGUAAAGCGCGCGUAGGCGGUUUUGCAAGCCAGAGGUGACAUGCCUGAGCUCAACUUAGGAAUUGCCUUUGGGACUGCGAGGCUUUGAGGACUGGAGAGGUGAGUGGAAUUCCCAGUGUAGAGGUGAAAAUUCGUAGAUAUCAGGAGGAACACCAUGGCGAAGGCAGCACUCUGGGACGUGACUGACGCUGAGACGCGAAAGCGUGGGGAGCAAACAGG
rnacentral:rRNA from 1 species